rfam:Triticum aestivum genome assembly, contig: Triticum_aestivum_CS42_TGACv1_scaffold_193940_3AL
ACUCAGUUGGUAGAGUACAAAGCUCUUAACCUUAUGGACGUGGGUUCAAGCCCCAU